rnacentral:rRNA from 1 species
UCGAACGGUAACAGGAAGCAGCUUGCUGCUUUGCUGACGAGUGGCGGACGGGUGAGUAAUGUCUGGGAAACUGCCUGAUGGAGGGGGAUAACUACUGGAAACGGUAGCUAAUACCGCAUAACGUCGCAAGACCAAAGAGGGGGACCUUCGGGCCUCUUGCCAUCGGAUGUGCCCAGAUGGGAUUAGCUAGUAGGUGGGGUAACGGCUCACCUAGGCGACGAUCCCUAGCUGGUCUGAGAGGAUGACCAGCCACACUGGAACUGAGACACGGUCCAGACUCCUACGGGAGGCAGCAGUGGGGAAUAUUGCACAAUGGGCGCAAGCCUGAUGCAGCCAUGCCGCGUGUAUGAAGAAGGCCUUCGGGUUGUAAAGUACUUUCAGCGGGGAGGAAGGCGACAGGGUUAAUAACCCUGUCGAUUGAGAUUACCCGCAUAAGAAACCCC